UUAUACUGUGAACUGCGAAUGGCUCAUUAAAUCAGUUAUCGUUUAUUUGAUAGUACCUUACUACAUGGAUACCUGUGGUAAUUCUAGAGCUAAUACAUGCUAAAAACCCCGACUUCAGGAAGGGGUGUAUUUAUUAGAUAAAAAACCAACGCCCUUCGGGGCUCCUUGGUGAAUCAUAAUAACUUAACGAAUCGCAUGGCCUUGCGCCGGCGAUGGUUCAUUCAAAUUUCUGCCCUAUCAACUUUCGAUGGUAGGAUAGUGGCCUACCAUGGUGGCAACGGGUAACGGGGAAUUAGGGUUCGAUUCCGGAGAGGGAGCCUGAGAAACGGCUACCACAUCCAAGGAAGGCAGCAGGCGCGCAAAUUACCCAAUCCCGAUACGGGGAGGUAGUGACAAUAAAUACUGAUACGGGGCUCUUUUGGGUCUCGUAAUUGGAAUGAGAACAAUUUAAAUCCCUUAACGAGGAACAAUUGGAGGGCAAGUCUGGUGCCAGCAGCCGCGGUAAUUCCAGCUCCAAUAGCGUAUAUUAAAGUUGUUGCAGUUAAAAAGCUCGUAGUUGAACCUUGGCUCUGGCUGGCCGGUCCGCCUCACCGCGAGUACUGGUCCGGCUGGAGCUUUCCUUCUGGGGAACCUCAUGGCCUUCACUGGCUGUGGGGGGAACCAGGACUUUUACUGUGAAAAAAUUAGAGUGUUCAAAGCAGGCCUUUGCUCGAAUACAUUAGCAUGGAAUAAUAGAAUAGGACGUGCGGUUCUAUUUUGUUGGUUUCUAGGACCGCCGUAAUGAUUAAUAGGGAUAGUCGGGGGCGUCAGUAUUCAGCUGUCAGAGGUGAAAUUCUUGGAUUUGCUGAAGACUAACUACUGCGAAAGCAUUCGCCAAGGAUGUUUUCAUUAAUCAGGGAACGAAAGUUAGGGGAUCGAAGACGAUCAGAUACCGUCGUAGUCUUAACCAUAAACUAUGCCGACUAGGGAUCGGACGGGAUUCUAUUAUGACCCGUUCGGCACCUUACGAGAA
rnacentral:rRNA from 1 species